UGACCCCAUAUCAGGCGGGAUUACCUACUGAGUUUAAGCAUAUCAAUAAGUGGAGGACUAGAAAUUUAUAAGGAUUCCCUUAGUAUCAGCAAGCGAAAUAGUAAUAGCCCAGCCUUAGUUAGAAUCGGGCGGCUCCAUCAUCCAAAUUAUAGUCUGGAGAAGCAUCCUCAGUGGUGGACCAGGCCUAAGUCCCCUGUAAAGGGGUACCAGAGAGGGUUAGAUCCCUAUUGUGCCCAGACCCUAUUGCACUAUAAGGUGCUUUCUAUGAGUUGGGUUGCUUGGGAAUGCAGCACAAAUCGGGCGAACAUGUACCGUGAGGGAAAUAUAAAAAGGACUUUGAAAAGAGAGUCCAAGAGUGCUUGAAAUUAUCAGGAGGGAAAAGGAUGGAGGCCGGUGAUGUGCCCCGAUCAGAUAUGGAACGGUGAUGCUGGUCUACUGAUCGACUCAAGGCGUGGACCAGCGUGGAUUGGUGGACGGCCAAAGCCCAGGCUCUCGAUACUCUUGUAGAAUGUCAGCUCCUUGAUUGUCGAAAGCAGCGCGCGCCUCUAGCAUGCUUCGGUAUCUAUGCACUCCAGACGCUGGCUUGUUGAUACACCCAAACUACACCUCUCUGACGAGAGAGUUAGUGGUCGCUGUCAAAUAUAGCACCCAACCAGGUUGGGUGUUGAAUCCCACAGGGAAUACUGUGUUACUAAGUAUUGUAUUUGUUACUGGACUAUUGGUCAGAGGUUCCUAAAUGGGGGGGUUUUGUUUAAAUUUGAAAUGAUAGUUACAAUUUAACAAUGACGCGAUAUGUGUAUUAAUAUUUGAUCACAGAGAAUGACAAGUUAGGGUUAUGUCCACCUUGUAGCUUUUACUUCUCUAUUAACUAUGAGUAAUAAGGAUUUAUACAUGCAUGCACUUAUAGAGAGAUGUAUUCUAAUUCUAAAUCCAAUUGUUUCUCAACCAUCAAGGAUUUAUUCACCUUAGUUCUCUCGAAUCCAAAGUGUACAACCAAUCAUACGAACUCUCCAUGUAGUUAAUCCUGCUCAGGCAAUAACGUGAAAAAUAGAGGUUGGAAACCCUAUUUUCUUGUCACUACUCUCUUUUCCAAAUAGUAACUUUUCUGUCGAAAAAGUUAUUGCUAUAAUGGCACAUUCCCUAUGUUUGCAACCAUGAGAAUUCAAUCAUAACGAAUAGAGUAAUGAUAUAAGUGGAUUAACACAUCAUAAAUUCAAAAACCCAUAGCAAUAGAGAGUAUACUACAAGGUUUCCAUAACCCUAACAAAUAAACUUAGCUACUCAUGAAUAAAACAGAAAUCACAAUAGAAAUAUUCAUCAUACCAAAACUUAGAAUGAUCUUGGUGGAGAAGAUGAAUAGCAAAAAUAAAAAAGAAAAAUGUUUCUCUCUCUCUCUCCUCAAGCUAAGCCGCUUUCUCUUGUUUUCAAAAUAAUGCAGAAUGUGAAUCCUCCAUAAAAAUUCAGCAACAAGUCUUUUAAUAGUCUUCUAUCUCAUAAUUUCCUUCUAAGUCCUCAACUUAUUAUAAAUGGUAAAUUUUCCCAGGAGAAAGUUCCCAUGCAUCACAUUUGGUCCAGAUUGUAGUUUCUAGGCGCCACAUCUGGUGCAGGUUUCUACUCUCUCUUGUGUCAUAUGCCAUCCGCAUUCCAUAGUCCCAUAAUGUUUUUAUCUACCUCAUUAAUACUUGAAAUCAUGCUAAUCACAUCGGUUAUCUCAAUUACAUAGAAGUAGAGUAAAAACAUGAAACUAGGCACUUUAUUCUCUAAACAGCUAAAUAUGGAUAAAUUAUGGAGCUUAGGCGAAUAAAUACACCCAAGAUCACCUGUGGGCUUCCUAUCCAACCCAUCUUGAAACACGGACCAAGGAGUCUAACAUGUUUGCGAGUCAAUGGGUGAUUAAACCCGUAAGACUUAAGGAAGCUAAUUGGUGGGAUUCCUCUGAGGGGUGCACCACCGACCAACCUGCGGGCCGAUCCGUGAAUCGAAAGUAGGGAACUGCCCCUUUUUAGACCCAAGGAUCACUCUGCAGGUUAAUUCGGGCAGUAGAUACUAGCAGGUAGGGAGUUUGGCUGGGGCGGCACAUCUUUUAAGAAAUAACACAAGUGUUCUAAGAUAAGCUCAACGAGAACAAAAAUAUCGUAUGGGACAGAAGGGUAGAAGCUCAUUUAAUUCUGAUUUCUAGUACGAAUACAAAUUGUGAAAGCAUGGCCUAACGAUCCUUUAGACCUUCGAGAUUCAAAUCUAGAGGUAUCAAAAAGUUACCACAGGGAUAACUAGCUUAUGGUAGCCAAGCGUUUAUAGCGACGUUGCUUUUUUAUCCUUCAAUGUCGGCUUUUCCUAUCAUUGUGAAGAAGAAUUCACCAAGUGUUGGAUUGUUCACCAACCAACAGGGAACAUAAGUUGGGUUUAAACCAUUGUGAGAUAAGCUAGUUUUACCCAACUGAUGACAGCAUUGCAAUAGUAAUUUAACUUAAUACGAGAGAAACUGUUGAUUCACAUAAUUGGUCAUCGCGCAUGGUUGAAAAGCCAAUAGCACAAAGCUAUCAUGUCCAGGAUUAUGAUAGAACGCCUCUAAGUUAGAAUCCGGACUAGAAGCGAUGCAUGCACCCGCCAUCUGCUUGGCUAAGCCAUCACGGCAGAAGGGU
rnacentral:rRNA from 1 species